rnacentral:rRNA from 1 species
AUUGAACGCUGGCGGCAGGCCUAACACAUGCAAGUCGAGCGGAUGAAGGGAGCUUGCUCCUGGAUUCAGCGGCGGACGGGUGAGUAAUGCCUAGGAAUCUGCCUGGUAGUGGGGGAUAACGUCCGGAAACGGGCGCUAAUACCGCAUACGUCCUGAGGGAGAAAGUGGGUGAUCUUCGGACCUCACGCUAUCAGAUGAGCCUAGGUCGGAUUAGCUAGUUGGUGGGGUAAAGGCCCACCAAGGCGACGAUCCGUAACUGGUCUGAGAGGAUGAUCAGUCACACUGGAACUGAGACACGGUCCAGACUCCUACGGGAGGCAGCAGUGGGGAAUAUUGGACAAUGGGCGAAAGCCUGAUCCAGCCAUGCCGCGUGUGUGAAGAAGGUCUUCGGAUUGUAAAGCACUUUAAGUUGGGAGGAAGGGCAGUAAGUUAAUACCUUGCUGUUUUGACGUUACCAACAGAAUAAGCACCGGCUAACUUCGUG